GGCUUUUCCAGGGAGGAUUCAUUUGAGGGGAGAGGGAUUGUAUUGCUCUCCGUCUGAGAGAAAAACAGACCCGAACGCGAGCGCGGCUGACCCACAUCAUUACCCUGAACAUGUACAAAUGUUUACAGGUUUGAGACACAAAGCCUCAGCCUCGGCCCCGGCUCUCUUUUAUUAAGCUCUGUUGUGCUGCAGUGUCUGCGGUUGAUGGAUGGUGUGCCGCUCUGGCUGUAGCUGCAGUGUACGGCGCUGGCUUUUGAAGGUGCGUGAAUCUCUCUCUCUGUCUAAACGCCCCCUUAUUUCAAAGCGGCUUUCAAAAGCAGCAUCUUUGUCGUAUGUUAUUAUGAUUUCCCCGGUGAAGGCCGACAGCAUCAGCCCUCCACUCCAUGAGCAAGUGUGUACGGCUAUCAAAGGACGCAGCAGUGCUGGUCACAGCACCCAGAAGCAUAUGCAGAUCCCCAGCUUGCAUUGCCAGUGUUUUGACCAGGCCUAUUAUUGAUGUCAAUGCUCAUGAAGUCAACGUUACAUCAACAUGUAUGGCUUUUUCUUUAUUAAUCCAUAUCCUUGCUUAUUAGGAAUUAUUCAUCAUAAUGUUCCAAAGGGAAAAAAAUGCUUUUAUAAUGCUUCAAACGACUUUCAUCAUCAAAAAUGCUUGUAUUUCAGCCAGGAGGUGCCCAUUAUGUUUUAAGAGUGGAGUUGUUCCUCAAAAUUAAUGCUAAAUUGUCUUUUUGAUGACUGUUUUCACCAGGUCUAUUUUUGCUGUCUUUAACAGACAUGUAAAUGCUUGUGAAGUCUGAUCUAAGUUUGUCUCUUUUUCUUUUUUAAUGCAUAUGCCUGGUAUUAUUUUGAAUGAUUCAUGCCUAGUUCUUUCAUGAAACUCUAGAUUGCUUAGGCUGAUGGGUUCUUAAUGUAACUGAUGAUAUUCGCAGCAUUAAACAACUUGGCACAAGCUGAUUGGAUCAUGUUGCAUAUGUUUGCAGAUUUACAUUAAAAUAGCUGGUUAGCAGCCACUUUAGAAUUUAGCAAAGAGCUUUCAGAGUUUCUCUGAAACCCUGCACCUUCCCCAGCUCCACCUGUAUAGAUCUGCUAUGGGUAUUUAUUUAUUUGCUAUGUAUGUCUUAAAUACUCACAGCCCUUUUUGUCAUACGCAUUGGAAGUAGCAAGUUCCUGUACUUGCUUGCAGUGUUGGGCAAGUUACUCUGAAAAUGCAAUCAAAUUACUGAUUACUGGUUACUCUUUUAAAAAGUAAUCACAUUACUGUUCUGAUUACUUGGUAAUUACUGAUCAAAAGUAAUUAGUAAUAAGUAUUUUCUCCAUUAAAUUGAUGAAAUCCCAGCAUACACGCUCCCGAUAAAUAUUUGUUAUUAAAGCAACAUUCAAAGAACACUGUUAUUUGUGCAUUAUAGAGUAAAUAAAGCUCAAAUCUGUACAUAAAUCUUCUGUUCCAGAUUCAUAUUCAUAAAUAUAAUUAUUUAUUGUUAAUUCUUAUUGAAAUGUUCCUGUUCUCACAUCAGACUGUACAGUAUGUAGGCUAUGUAUGUAUGCAUGUAUGUAAAUUACUUUCUUUUCAGCUGAAAUAAUGAAGGCUUAUUGAAUUUCAACCAAUAGGUGCCCUCACUGCUUUAAGUAGGUGGGUGGUUCUGCACAAUUAAUGGUGAAUUCCUAAUUUCACAACCAUUUUCAAAAAAUCCUGUUUUUGCUUUGUUUAUGAAGCCAUGCUUAAAUUAUAACUUGUCUUUUUCUUUAUUAAUGUAUUUAUAAUGACUUAUAUUAAAGCUGAUAUCAUCAAGAGUGCUUAAAUAUCCACCAAUAGGUGCCCUCGAAGUUUCAGGACUGGGGUGGUUCUUUAUAAAUAAUUAUAAAUGAUCAUUUUUACCAGACGUAUUUAGCUGUCUUUAACAGAACCUUCAGUGCUCAUAAAGUCAACAUUAAAUCAUAACUGAUGUUCUUCCUUUUUCUUAAAUACAUAUGCCUGAUCUUGAUAUUAAUUAUUCAUAAUGUUAUUCCAAAGAAAGAAAUCUUUAUAAUGUUUUAAAUUACUUUCCUUUCAGCUGACAUCAACAAGGUCGCAUACAUUUCAACCAAUACAGUAGGUGCCCUCGAUGUUUCAUUAGGAAUUUGGUUCUCCACAAUUAAUGGCAUAGCUCAAAUCUCCGGAUAUUUGGCAGACCGUCCACCUUGCAUGACCACCCUUCAUUUGAAGCUGAAAACCGAGCUGUUUUUCAGUCCAAAAGCGACCCUCGCCAAGAUCUCGCCAUCUCGACAGACAGCUCAAUCAUCUCUCCCUCACUGAAAGCCAAGGAUCUUGGCAUUACACGGGAUGUGGAUCCGGUAUACUAGCCCUGACUUCCCUCCCCUGUUAUCUAGAAGAUCCCAAAUAUUAUUUCUGCGUCUGUCUGUCAUUUGUUUGUACGUACGUUCUAUCGUCUAUCUACUGUAUCUAUUUAUGUCUGUCUGUCUGCUGUUCAAACACUGCUUCCUGUUUUCAACUUAAAAUUGGAAUCUACGUGAAGUUGAAUUCUCAGUGGUUCACAGCCCUAAUUAACUUGCUUCCUACUUCUGGUCUAGUGUUCGAGUCCUGGUUAUGCAAGACAGAUUCUCAGAACUCCUCAUCUAACACAGCCUCACUGCAGUCUCAGCACAUUUGUCUUCAGCACUCCCCUAAAGUUCAGGUAUCAUUCUACGUAUCAUGCUAUCAAUGAGCAUCUUCUAAAUGCUGUGAUCUACAGUAAGUACAGUGGAGAUUAUAGUGAGUGUUUAGGUUAGCUGCUCUUGAGUUCCCCACAUAUCUUCGUUUCCAAUGCAAUAAGACGUGAUUUUACAGCAGAAAAUGCAUUUACGGAGAAAUGAAAUGUUGCGUUGUGGAAUUGCACAAGCGUUAAGGAAGUGCCAAACUGUUCAUUCCUUUUAAAGCAGGGUUCUGCUCCACAGAACUAUUCAUUUAUUCAUCGUGUAAUAAAGUCGGUCUCUUCUGUGAGUGAUUUGGCUUUAAAAUUGUUCGGCAGAAAAGCAGGCCUCUGACAGCUCCUGCUCUAGCGCCGUGUGCAUUGAGCUCCGUGCCAGAACUGGGAGCUAACGAGCCCCCGGAUGAUCAUUAGCUUGAAUGACUGUAUAAUGAGCCUGGAAAAUAUGCAGAGGUCAGAGAGGAAAGCCUCUAUUAAAAGCAUUAUUAAUCCACAAGGGUCAAAGUUCAGGAUGGCAAGAGUCUAGGAGUUUUUCGAGGUCCAGUUGGAGGAUCUCAAUGGUCAACUGUCACAAGCUGCACUCCGAUUUAGUUUCUACACAGAGCUUGCUGCUCUCUACAUGCAGAGCACAUACAGUGUCUCUUGAAAUUUCUUUCUUUCUCUUUAUUUUUUGUUUAUUUGGAAUGACCUACAACAUCAUUUUGCAGACCAGUUUCCAGAAUCCUCAACAUCACUUG